UACGUAGGGUGCAAGCGUUAAUCGGAAUUACUGGGCGUAAAGCGUGCGCAGGCGGUCUGUUAAGACCGAUGUGAAAUCCCCGGGCUUAACCUGGGAAUGGCAUUGGUGACUGUACGGCUAGAGUGUGUCAGAGGGGGGUAGAAUUCCACGUGUAGCAGUGAAAUGCGUAGAGAUGUGGAGGAAUACCGAUGGCGAAGGCAGCCCCCUGGGAUGACACUGACGCUCAUGCACGAAAGCGUGGGGAGCAAACAGG
rnacentral:rRNA from 1 species